rnacentral:rRNA from 1 species
GGUCCUACGGGGGGCAGCAGUGAGGAAAAUUGGUCAAUGGGAACGAGCCUGAACCAGCCAAGCCGCGUGAGGGAAGACGGUCCUAUGGAUUGUAAACCUCUUUUGUCGGGGAGCAAAAGACGCCACGUGUGGCGUUCCGAGAGUACCCGACGAAAACCACUCGGCUAACUCCGUGCCAGCAGCCGCGGUAAUACGGAGGAUGUGAGCGUUAUCCGGAUUUAUUGGGUUUAAAGGGUGCGCAGGCGGAAGAUCAAGUCAGCGGUAAAAUUGAGA